rnacentral:lncRNA from 1 species
CACCUUACUUUUGUAAUAUGCUAUAAUUAGAACCUUUUAGGGUUUUUAGUAGUUAGUUUUGAUGAAUAUGAAAAUGUAACACUUAGAAACAUUUCUCUCGAGAGAAAGACCCUCCUUGGCCGAAAUUAUAACUAGGUUUCAACUUGAGUGUGGAAUCACUCGUGUUGGAUUCAAGCUUGGAAACGUUGGAUGCUUGAGAGGUCGAGGUCCCUCUUGUGCUAACGUAAGAGAUAGGUGAAUUAUUGUGUGUAGUGUUAAGGGUCCAAGAGUGGAAUAAGCUCUUGGGUUCUUAAGAUUAUGCCUUCAUGUAGUCUAUCAAUCUAUCCUUUUGCUCAUUGUAAUCUUGUAACCGUUGUCUUGUUUGUGGAACCCGUGAGUUGUUGUUAUAAUAUUGUUAUUGUUCUUCGUGUUCUUCACCUUGUGUUGAUAAUAUUAGUUUGUGGUGGCUGUUUUGGGGUUGAAACACACCCUUAUAUCUCGUUCUUGUUGUCGCUGUAGUGAAUCCGAGAGUGGUCUCUAAAAGGUCCCCAGAUCCUUAAGAUUAGUGGAUUGUUUUGGAGAGUGUUUCGUGCUCUCCUUGUUUGUAUUGUAUCAUUUGGUAUCAGAGCAUGGCUUGAUCUUGUUCCUACAUGAUCAAUCUUGGGCUUGCUUGUUAGAAAAAAAAGUGUUAGAAAACUGAAAAAUCAAAAAGAAGCAAAUAUGUCCGUGUUUGUGUUCUUGGCCGAAAAUUGUGUUAUUGUUGUGUCUUGGCUGAGAUUUUUACUUGUUUUGUUGUUUCUAGUAUUAGUUUUCUUCAUCUCUAACACUCUUGAGUCUAAAUCUAAAUUUGAUCUUGAAAUGUUAAUCUUGUUAUUGUGAACAUAACUUGGCCGAUUGUGUUGGCAUUAUUGUUGUGGCUUCACUUUUGGCCGUGUAUUGGUGACAUUGUUGAUUGUUGUGGACAUUAAGGUUGUUGUUCUUAAGCUUGGAAGUGAAUGUUGUUACAAAUUGGUGGCCUAAGAACAUUUUGUUGAAGUGUUGUAUUCUUGGCCAUGUGAGACAUUGUUGUUGUGGGGUUGGCCGUGUGAAAAAUUGUUGGUGUUCUUGGAGAUUAUUGUUGUAGUUCUUGGUGUUGUUGUUGUUCUUGAUGUUCAUCACCACCUUCAUAUAUUGUUGAAGAUAAAGUGAAAGCUACAUUCAAAAAGUAGUAGGUAAAAGGUGUAUUAUUUGUUAGUCUUGGAAGACACUACAACCAACCAAGACCUAUCAAUCACGUUUCAACCACUUUCCAACACUUUUCCAUGAUUUAAAGAACCAUGUUUUAAGGAGAAGUACAAGAAAAAGUCAAGUCUGGAAAAUUGAAAAAGGCUCCAAGACUUAUUUUUCCCUCUUAGAAAAUUGAAAAUUGAAAAAGGCUCCAAGACUUAUUUUUCCCUCCUAAAACAAAAUUCCACCAAUCCAAAUUAAAUUUUUGACCAAGACAUAAACAUUUGAGAAUAACAAUUCGUUAGAAAGAUCACAACCAAUACGUGGCUACCACGUCAUUAAGUUACUGUUCACGCAUCAAAUUUUGGCAUAAAUUUCUGAUUUCGUAGUUUCCGUUUGUUGUUCCUUAGUUUCAAUUUCGUUGGUUCCAAUACUAAUUGGCAAACUAGUACUCAUCUACUAGAUUGUUAGUUAGUCUUUGUGUUCGUUCAUUCGUGUUAAGCGUUUGUUAGGUACUUUUCUCUUUUGUGAAUUCAUUGUAUCUUGUUGGUUCAAGUCCGUAAACAAAUUUUCUAUGAGUCAACUCAAGCGAAAAUCUAUUCCGGGCAAGAGUAGACUCGAACCUCAAUCACUCACGAAGUACAAGCCGACUUUCCGCACUUGUGAAACCAAGUGUGAGACGAUCAAGUGUGUGAGAGUGUGGUGGGGUUGUUUCGAAUAACUUCUGUUUUUUUUUUUUUGUAGGCUUGUUCUUUUUUUUUUUCUUUCUUUUUAGGUACAAUUACAAGGGAACCCACGGCUUCAACCUCUCAACCCAUGGGCAACAAUGCCACCAAUGUCAUUUUGGCCUACCUUGACAUUAUGUCCCCAGACCUAGCUAUGGCAAACGAAAGGUUAGAUCAUAUGGUAGGUCAAAGGGAGCAAGUGGACUGUCCGGACACACAUCAAGAGGAAGGCCGUAGCUCAUGUGAGCUACGAGGUAAAACGCCAUCCUCUACACUCCUAUAAGCUUAGAAUGUUAUGAUGUGGCUAGUAGUGGCCAAUUGGAUGAAGUUGCGGAUUUACCUAGAGUAGAGUGUUUUGAGUCUCCCUAUGGUGAUACUCUUCGUGCUGUAGGUCACGUGAGGACCACACUCUUGUUGUAAGUAUGCAAGCAUUAGUUGAUCCUGUUGAUAACGAAAUUGAUUCUUCUUGUAAGAAUGAUUUUUGUCCAUCUAGUGCUAGCUCUUAUAACUUGAACAAGGUUCCAUUACCAAUUGACAAGAGUACUCACACACUAGUGAACCCUUGUGAAAACCAAGGUGAGUCUAUGUUGGUAUACGGGUUACCAACAACUAGUGAGGGCGUACAAAAUGAUCAAUCGGAUGAAGAUGACCUGGAUUUGUGUGAAAGUAUAGGAAACCCGAAUUGUGAUUGUACUUGUGAAAAGGGUUUUGGUCGUAACCCCUUGGCUGCCCGUGAUGGUGUGAAGCUAAGCGCGGGUUACCUUUUUGAAAUGGAGUAUGACCGAAACCCAUGCCCAUGGCUACUUCUCCCAUUUGACCCUGGUGCCAUCUUAGAGUAUGAUAGGAGUAGUCUCGGCCUUUGUUCUUUAUUUCUUGAGUGUGAUCCCUUUGUUGCCCAUGAUAGUUUAUGUCUAUGUAGGGACUACUCUCUUGAAAGAGAAAGCGUUGCAUGCCUAGAAAUGCUAUCUACUCUUUCUUCGUGUGUUUCCUUUGUUGAGCAUACUAAUGACGAUGAACUUGAAAUUAGUAAAUACUUACAUGAGGACACCCUAGUUGGAGUUGCCUUGUGUAACACCUUUCUCUACCCUCUUUGUGCUCAUGAUAUUUUCCAUAGUGAUAUAGAGGGUAUGCCUAAUUUUGAGGACGGCACCAUAGGGGAAAGUAGGAGUGGCCAAGACCUAAGCCCUUGGUUACAGCUACCAUUUGAUCUCGGUGCCAACUUAGGAUGGGAAAGGAUUAUUCUCGGCUUAGGCUCAUUUUGUUUUGAUGUUUAUAUGAGCCACUUCCUUUGUAACAUUUGUACUAGUCUUUCCAUGUUUAAUACAAAGGACGUGGAUAUACUUCAAAUUUGUCCCCCCUUGGCAUGGCAUGUUGAUGUGUUUAUUUUGCUUACUCUUAACCCUCAUGUCAUGAGGAUGUGUGCUUGUUUGUUUUCUAUUGAUUUUGCAAAGUACGGAUUCGAGGUCGAAUCCUUUUCAAGAAGGGGAGGAUCAUACAAGUACGAUCACGUAGAUGGACUUAUGAGGGCAUAUGUUGGACCCGAGACUUGGUGUGUGUAAAUGAAGUGCAAAGGAGCACCUAAAUGGACACCAAAACCACCCCUACAUAGCACUCCAAGGGCACCUACUUGAAGCCAUUCAUUAAAGGGACUUUUUGGUCAUUUCACCUUACUUUUGUAAUAUGCUAUAAAUAGAACCUUUUAGGUUUUUUAGUAGUUCGUUUUGAUGAAUAUGAAAGUGUAACACUUAGAAACAUUUCUCUUGAGAGAAAGGCCUUCCUUGGCCGAAAUUGUAACUAGGUUUAAACUUGAGUGUGGAAUCACUCGUGUUGGAUUCAAGCUUGGAAACGUUGGAUGCUUGGGAGGUCGAGGUCCCUCUUGUGCUAACGUAAGAGAUAGGUGAAUUGUUGUGUGUAGUGUUAAGGGUCCAAUAGUGGAAUAAGCUCUUGGAUUCUUAAGAUUAUGCCUUCAUGUAGUCUAUCAAUCUAUCCUUUUGCUCAUUGUAAUCUUGUAACCGUUGUGUGUCUUAUUUGUGGAACCCGUGAGGAGUUGUUAUAAUAUUGUUAUUGUUCUUCGUGUUCUUCAUCUUGUGUUGAUAAUAUUAGUUUGUGGUGGCUGUUUUGGGGUUGAAACACACCCUCAUAUCUUGUUCU